rnacentral:rRNA from 1 species
UACGGGGGGGGCAAGCGUUGUUCGGAAUUACUGGGCGUAAAGGGCUCGUAGGCGGCCAACUAAGUCAGACGUGAAAUCCCUCGGCUUAACCGGGGAACUGCGUCUGAUACUGGAUGGCUUGAGUGUGGGAGAGGGAUGCGGAAUUCCAGGUGUAGCGGUGAAAUGCGUAGAUAUCGAGAGGAACACCUGCGGCGAAGGCGGGUUGCUGGGCUGACACUGACGCUGAGGCGCGAAAGCCAGGGGAGCGAACGGG